UGGGACCCAGUACGCAGGCCCGCCGAGCGGCCAAUGAAGGCUGGAGGCCGGCGGUGUAGAGCCCGUCAGCCCCGAAGCCGCGUCCCGCACUCGGACAUCCCGAAGUUUGGAGAGUAAUAAUACUUUGCCCAAGAUCACACAGCAAGACACAAUUUCCUGACUCCAAGGUAGCAAGCUGGUGUUCAAACAAAGUAUGAUAGCCGUGCCUAUCUGAAGAGCGAGACCUCACAGGCAUAGACAUGCCUAUCAUGAAACCCUGUUAUGAGUAGUUCCCCUCUGAUAUGUGUGAGAUUUUUCUUUUCAUCCUUCUUGGGAUUAUAAUGUUUUACAAAGAGGAACUUGAAGUACUUACUGAUGAAGAUCAAAGACUAUAGCCUUCAGUAUGAAUUGCACCUCAACAUAAAGAAAAAAAAAAAAAAAACAACCAGACCAAUAA